rnacentral:rRNA from 1 species
AUAAACGCUGGCGGCGUGCAUGAGACAUGCAAGUCGAACGAAGGAUCGGGCUUGCUCGAUCCUUCGUGGCGGACGGCUGAGUAACGCGUAGGUGACCUACCCCGAAGUGGGGAAUAACUGCCCGAAAGGGUGGCUAAUACCGCAUGUGGUCGCACGUUCAUUCGUGCGAGUAAAGCCGCAAGGCGCUUCGGGAGGGGCCUGCGUCCGAUUAGCUCGUUGGUGGGGUAAUGGCUUACCAAGGCGACGAUCGGUAGGUGGUCUGAGAGGACGAUCACCCAGACUGGGACUGAGACACGGCCCAGACUCCUACGGGAGGCAGCAGUCGGGAAUUUUGCUCAAUGGGGGAAACCCUGAAGCAGCAACGCCGCGUGAGGGAUGAAGGCCUUCGGGUUGUAAACCUCUUUUGUCAGGGACGAUGAUGACGGUACCUGGCGAAUAAGCCACGGCUAACUACGUG